AGCGUACACGGUGGAUGCCCUGGCAGUCAGAGGCGAUGAAGGACGUGCUAAUCUGCGAUAAGCGUCGGUAAGGUGAUAUGAACCGUUAUAACCGGCGAUUUCCGAAUGGGGAAACCCAGUGUGUUUCGACACACUAUCAUUAACUGAAUCCAUAGGUUAAUGAGGCGAACCGGGGGAACUGAAACAUCUAAGUACCCCGAGGAAAAGAAAUCAACCGAGAUUCCCCCAGUAGCGGCGAGCGAACGGGGAGCAGCCCAGAGCCUGAAUCAGUAUGUGUGUUAGUGGAAGCGUCUGGAAAGGCGUGCGAUACAGGGUGACAGCCCCGUACACAAAAAUGCACAUGCUGUGAGCUCGAUGAGUAGGGCGGGACACGUGGUAUCCUGUCUGAAUAUGGGGGGACCAUCCUCCAAGGCUAAAUACUCCUGACUGACCGAUAGUGAACCAGUACCGUGAGGGAAAGGCGAAAAGAACCCCGGCGAGGGGAGUGAAAAAGAACCUGAAACCGUGUACGUACAAGCAGUGGGAGCACGCUUAGGCGUGUGACUGCGUACCUUUUGUAUAAUGGGUCAGCGACUUAUAUUCUGUAGCAAGGUUAACCGAAUAGGGGAGCCGAAGGGAAACCGAGUCUUAACUGGGCGUUAAGUUGCAGGGUAUAGACCCGAAACCCGGUGAUCUAGCCAUGGGCAGGUUGAAGGUUGGGUAACACUAACUGGAGGACCGAACCGACUAAUGUUGAAAAAUUAGCGGAUGACUUGUGGCUGGGGGUGAAAGGCCAAUCAAACCGGGAGAUAGCUGGUUCUCCCCGAAAGCUAUUUAGGUAGCGCCUCGUGAAUUCAUCUCCGGGGGUAGAGCACUGUUUCGGCAAGGGGGUCAUCCCGACUUACCAACCCGAUGCAAACUGCGAAUACCGGAGAAUGUUAUCACGGGAGACACACGGCGGGUGCUAACGUCCGUCGUGAAGAGGGAAACAACCCAGACCGCCAGCUAAGGUCCCAAAGUCAUGGUUAAGUGGGAAACGAUGUGGGAAGGCCCAGACAGCCAGGAUGUUGGCUUAGAAGCAGCCAUCAUUUAAAGAAAGCGUAAUAGCUCACUGGUCGAGUCGGCCUGCGCGGAAGAUGUAACGGGGCUAAACCAUGCACCGAAGCUGCGGCAGCGACACUAUGUGUUGUUGGGUAGGGGAGCGUUCUGUAAGCCUGUGAAGGUGUACUGUGAGGUAUGCUGGAGGUAUCAGAAGUGCGAAUGCUGACAUAAGUAACGAUAAAGCGGGUGAAAAGCCCGCUCGCCGGAAGACCAAGGGUUCCUGUCCAACGUUAAUCGGGGCAGGGUGAGUCGACCCCUAAGGCGAGGCCGAAAGGCGUAGUCGAUGGGAAACAGGUUAAUAUUCCUGUACUUGGUGUUACUGCGAAGGGGGGACGGAGAAGGCUAUGUUGGCCGGGCGACGGUUGUCCCGGUUUAAGCGUGUAGGCUGGUUUUCCAGGCAAAUCCGGAAAAUCAAGGCUGAGGCGUGAUGACGAGGCACUACGGUGCUGAAGCAACAAAUGCCCUGCUUCCAGGAAAAGCCUCUAAGCAUCAGGUAACAUCAAAUCGUACCCCAAACCGACACAGGUGGUCAGGUAGAGAAUACCAAGGCGCUUGAGAGAACUCGGGUGAAGGAACUAGGCAAAAUGGUGCCGUAACUUCGGGAGAAGGCACGCUGAUAUGUAGGUGAAGUCCCUCGCGGAUGGAGCUGAAAUCAGUCGAAGAUACCAGCUGGCUGCAACUGUUUAUUAAAAACACAGCACUGUGCAAACACGAAAGUGGACGUAUACGGUGUGACGCCUGCCCGGUGCCGGAAGGUUAAUUGAUGGGGUCAGCGCAAGCGAAGCUCUUGAUCGAAGCCCCGGUAAACGGCGGCCGUAACUAUAACGGUCCUAAGGUAGCGAAAUUCCUUGUCGGGUAAGUUCCGACCUGCACGAAUGGCGUAAUGAUGGCCAGGCUGUCUCCACCCGAGACUCAGUGAAAUUGAACUCGCUGUGAAGAUGCAGUGUACCCGCGGCAAGACGGAAAGACCCCGUGAACCUUUACUAUAGCUUGACACUGAACAUUGAGCCUUGAUGUGUAGGAUAGGUGGGAGGCUUUGAAGUGUGGACGCCAGUCUGCAUGGAGCCGACCUUGAAAUACCACCCUUUAAUGUUUGAUGUUCUAACGUUGACCCGUAAUCCGGGUUGCGGACAGUGUCUGGUGGGUAGUUUGACUGGGGCGGUCUCCUCCUAAAGAGUAACGGAGGAGCACGAAGGUUGGCUAAUCCUGGUCGGACAUCAGGAGGUUAGUGCAAUGGCAUAAGCCAGCUUGACUGCGAGCGUGACGGCGCGAGCAGGUGCGAAAGCAGGUCAUAGUGAUCCGGUGGUUCUGAAUGGAAGGGCCAUCGCUCAACGGAUAAAAGGUACUCCGGGGAUAACAGGCUGAUACCGCCCAAGAGUUCAUAUCGACGGCGGUGUUUGGCACCUCGAUGUCGGCUCAUCACAUCCUGGGGCUGAAGUAGGUCCCAAGGGUAUGGCUGUUCGCCAUUUAAAGUGGUACGCGAGCUGGGUUUAGAACGUCGUGAGACAGUUCGGUCCCUAUCUGCCGUGGGCGCUGGAGAACUGAGGGGGGCUGCUCCUAGUACGAGAGGACCGGAGUGGACGCAUCACUGGUGUUCGGGUUGUCAUGCCAAUGGCACUGCCCGGUAGCUAAAUGCGGAAGAGAUAAGUGCUGAAAGCAUCUAAGCACGAAACUUGCCCCGAGAUGAGUUCUCCCUGACUCCUUGA
rnacentral:rRNA from 1 species